AUUUUUGAGGAUUUGAUCCUGGUCCAGGAUGAACGCUGGCGGCGUGGAUAAGGCAUGCAAGUCGAGCGAACCAAAUCUUGAUGAGAUCCGCGGAGUAGCAAUACGAAGCGGAAGGAAUCAAGACUCAGGUUAGCGGCGAACGAGUUAGUAAUACCUUGGUACGUACCCCGAAGACGGGCAUAGUUUGCCGAAAGGCGAAGUAAUUCCCGAUAGUCCCCGAGAGCAAUCAACGGGUAAAGGCGCAAGCCGCUUUGGGAUCGGCCUAGGUCCGAUCAGCUAGUUGGUGAGGUAACGGCCCACCAAGGCUAUGACCGGUAGGGAGGGUGAGAGCCUGAUUCCCAACGAGGGCACUGAGACACGGGCCCUACUCCUACGGGAGGCAGCAGUCGAGAAUAUUCGACAAUGGGCGAAAGCCUGAUCGAGCGACGCCGCGUGCAGGAAGAAGUC
rnacentral:rRNA from 1 species